UACGUAGGUGGCAAGCGUUAUUCGGAUUUACUGGGCGUACAGGGAGCGUAGGCGGUUCGGUAAGCCCUCUGUGAAAUCUUCAGGCUUAACCUGGAAAAGUCGGAGGGGACUGCUGGGCUAGAGGACGGGAGAGGAGCGCGGAAUUCCCGGUGUAGCGGUGAAAUGCGUAGAGAUCGGGAGGAAGGCCGGUGGCGAAGGCGGCGCUCUGGAACGUUUCUGACGCUGAGGCUCGAAAGCGUGGGGAGCAAACAGG
rnacentral:rRNA from 1 species